rnacentral:rRNA from 1 species
AUACGUAGGGAGCGAGCGUUGUCCGGAUUUACUGGGUGUAAAGGGUGCGUAGGCGGGACUGCAAGUCAGACGUGAAAUACCGAGGCUUAACCUCGGGGCUGCGUUUGAAACUGUAGUUCUUGAGUGAAGUAGAGGCAGGCGGAAUUCCUAGUGUAGCGGUGAAAUGCGUAGAUAUUAGGAAGAACACCAGUGGCGAAGGCGGCUUCCUGGACUGUAACUGACGCUGAGGCACGAAAGCGUGGGGAGC